AUCCUAGAGUCCUCUUGGUCGGAGGAAAAUGCAUGUCACACUUUCCUGAACCUUCUGGGAAAGAAUGUAAAGGAGGUGCAAAAAAAAAGGAAGAAAGGUCUUUUCGAAAAAAAUUCAAAAGAUUUCACGCUUGUAGGCUUCAAUUUCAGUGUAGACCGGUUGUACGAUAAGAAAAGAAUACUGGAUGCAUCAUAUUGCGCCUAUAAGAAAAAAAGUGAAGACUCUAAACAGAAGUGGGAAUACUUUGCCGCUUUGGAUAACUUAAGCAAGUGCCAGUGGCCAGAAGGAUUUGAAUCGAAACCUCUGUGGUCAAAGGCUGUUUCUCACGAGGUCGAUCCUGACGAAGGUGACUUGGGCAGUGAUGUCGAAAAUGCCUGUUCAAAUGAGGCUGUAUGUGGGGAACUUGAUGAGGCACCUGAUCGAGCACCUAAUAAUACUUUUCCUGAAAAUGAUUACCUAUACGAAGAGGACGCGGAGAUUGAUUUAAAUGUACCGGACACACCAUUAAUAGUACCUUUAUCCCAUCCCACCCAUGAGCCUCCAAAAUCCAAAGCCUAGGAAAAGCUAGAGGCUGACAAAGCAUGACUUGAAGAGGUUACUGAAUGUAAGGAGUUCUUUAUCGACCAACCUUUACUGAAAAAUUCUGACUUGUUCAAAGAAGUUGCUUCACAUCACGUCUAGUGAAGAUAGGUUACACCACUGUCACUUGGUUGAAAGCCCAGCAGAGAUACAAUGCUCUUAUUAAAAAAUUCCACGAAGAGUUUGAUAGA